GUCGGUGUGGUCUAGUGGCAACAUACCGGUCCGUAAACCGGAGACCCCAGUUCGAUUCUGCGGCGCCGGCC
rnacentral:tRNA from 1 species